rnacentral:misc_RNA from 1 species
GAUGAAGAACGCAGUGAAAUGCGAUAAGUAAUGUGAAUUGCAGAAUUCAGUGAAUCAUCGAAUCUUUGAACGCACAUUGCGCCCGCCAGUAUUCUGGCGGGCAUGCCUGUUCGAGCGUCAUUACAACCCUCAGGCCCCCGGGCCUGGCGUUGGGGAUCGGCGGAGCCCCCCGUGGGCACACGCCGUCCCCCAAAUACAGUGGCGGUCCCGCCGCAGCUUCCAUCGCGUAGUAGCUAACACCUCGCGACUGGAGAGCGGCGCGGCCACGCCGUAAAACACCCAACUCUUCUGAAGUUGACCUCGAAUUAGGUAGGAAUACCCGCUGAACUUAAGCAUAUCAAUAAGCGGAGGA